GGCUUUAGUCCGAAAAGCAAAAAAUCGGCUUUAGUAAAAAACCGCUCAAACGCGAGCAACCUGGCUGCUUUUGACCUGUGGGCUAACUUAGUCAACAUCUUUUGGUACGGUUUGUAUAGAGCUUAGGCUCUAACCAAUCAAAUUAGAGCCCCUUUCAAAUAGUAUCCAGAAAUACGGUUUCACUAUUGAAAGUAUUUGUGAUGGCUUUAAAAUAUAUUUUCAUUUUUAUUUAUAAAAUUUAAAGAUAAAAAUAAUAUAGAUUGAUAGAUCUAUGAAAACUUGAAAAUUUUGAAAAUUGACGGUUUAAAAAUACAUUACAAAAUACACUAUUUCUAAAAUUUGAAAUCCAUUUUUUUAUCACAUGUCCAUGCAUCUUGAUGUUGAGAUGACCAAUUUGAAGAUAUUUGGGCAUCAAAACAAUAUCUUCUAAAAAAAGUUUUAAAAUAGGCUUAAAUUUGAUUGUUUAAAGCCUCGGCUCUAUAUAAA
rnacentral:lncRNA from 1 species